AGGGGCGCCUACUCAACGCUAUGCCCCGGGCGCCAUAAAAGCUCUCGGCGGCCCUGGUCCUGGUGAUGCUGAUUGCACCGUUGUUAAAACCGCUCUUGAUGUUGAAAACACAAGCUUGCAGCAUGUAACUGUUGUGGCGGAUGACACAGAUAUCGCAGUAAUGUUUAUUCAUUAUUGGAAAAACAACAUGUCUGACAUUUACAUUUUGCAAGAUAAAUGGGAUAAAGCUUGGAGUAUCAAGGGUGCUUCUUUAAAAAACAAAACCAUAAAACAACACCUGAUCUUUGUUCAUGCAUGGUUGGGGUGGGACGCUGUUUCGUCUGUGUUUGGAAAAAGUAAAACAAAACCAGUUGAAAAAAUAUCGGACAAGAAGUGGCAAAAAAUAUCAGAAGUAAUGGCAAGUCUAUGAGGUAAUCAUGAAGAAGUUGGAAACGCCUCAAUUGAAGGUUUUAUUUUGUUAUAUGGAGGAACAAAAGGAAGUACACUUGUAAAAUUGAGGUAAUUGUUUUCUAUCUACCAUAGAAAUCCUUAUUUUAUAAAAAUAAUUAUCUUACUUAAUUUAUUAUUAACUUUUGGUAUAAUAAAUACAUAGAUUUAGCAUACAAGGGUAUAAUAUCCCCAGAGAAAUAUCCACCUACUGAUAAAACUGCUUACUUCCACGGCCUGCGCGUGCAUUGUCAAAUAAUUUUAUGGUCACUAAUUGAUGACAUUGAACUAGAUGCAACUGAAUGGGGCUGGAAGCAACACGACGGAGUAAUCACGCCUAUAAUGAACGAUAAAGACAUUAUACCAGAAGCAAUAACAAAGGUCAUUAGAUGUAAUUGCAAGACAACAACAAAAAACCCAUGUGGUGACAAAACAAGUACGUGCAGGAAAUACAGAAAACGGUGCUUGCAAUUUGUGGGGAAUGUCGCGGAACAGAAUGUACGAAUAGCAAGGGUAAUGAAAUUAAAGAAGAAAACGAAAUGGAAAAUUAUGAAGAUGACAAUAUGAACAUAUUAUGUUUCCCUGGUUUCUAAAUCGAGAAAUAUAAUUAAAAAAAACAAACGGUUUAAUUUAGAUUUAAUUAAA